rnacentral:rRNA from 1 species
GGUUGACCUCGAAUCAGGUAGGGAUACCCGCUGAACUUAAGCAUAUCAAUAAGGCGGAGGA